rnacentral:rRNA from 1 species
AUUGAACGCUGGCGGCAUGCCUUACACAUGCAAGUCGAACGGCAGCACGGGGGCAACCCUGGUGGCGAGUGGCGAACGGGUGAGUAAUGCAUCGGAACGUGUCCUCUUGUGGGGGAUAACCAGUCGAAAGACUGGCUAAUACCGCAUGAGAUCGAGAGAUGAAAGCGGGGGACCGCAAGGCCUCGCGCGAGAGGAGCGGCCGAUGCCCGAUUAGCUAGUUGGUGGGGUAAGAGCCCACCAAGGCGACGAUCGGUAGCUGGUCUGAGAGGACGACCAGCCGAACUGGGACUGAGACACGGCCCAGACUCCUACGGGAGGCAGCAGGGGGGAAUUUUAGACAAUGGGGGCAACCCUGAUCCAGCCAUGCCGCGUGUGUGAAGAAGGCCUUCGGGUUGUAAAGCACUUUCGGACGGAACGAAAUCGCGCGGGCGAAUAUCCCGCGUGGAUGACGGUACCGUAAGAAGAAGCACCGGCUAACUACGUGCCAGCCGCCGCGGUAA